GAUUCAUUUUCUCAGUAACGUAGCUAACGCGUGAAGUUGACCGCCUGGGGAGUACGGUCGCAAGAUUAAAACUCAAAGGAAUUGACGGGGACCCGCACAAGCGGUGGAUGAUGUGGAUUAAUUCGAUGCAACGCGAAAAACCUUACCUACCCUUGACAUGCCACUAACGAAGCAGAGAUGCAUUAGGUGCCCGAAAGGGAAAGUGGACACAGGUGCUGCAUGGCUGUCGUCAGCUCGUGUCGUGAGAUGUUGGGUUAAGUCCCGCAACGAGCGCAACCCUUGUCUCUAGUUGCUACGCAAGAGCACUCUAGAGAGACUGCCGGUGACAAACCGGAGGAAGGUGGGGAUGACGUCAAGUCCUCAUGGCCCUUAUGGGUAGGGCUUCACACGUCAUACAAUGGUGCGUACAGAGGGUUGCCAACCCGCGAGGGGGAGCUAAUCCCAGAAAACGCAUCGUAGUCCGGAUCGUAGUCUGCAACUCGACUACGUGAAGCUGGAAUCGCUAGUAAUCGCGGAUCAGCAUGCCGCG
rnacentral:rRNA from 1 species